rnacentral:rRNA from 1 species
CUUAGAAGCAGCCACUCAUUAAAAGAGUGCGUAAUAGCUCACUGGUCGAGUGACCCUGCGCCGAAAAUUUAACGGGGCUAAAUCGUACACCGAAGCUUGGGAUGCAGUAAUGCAUGGUAGGAGAGCGUCGUAUAAGGGGUGAAGUCAGAGCGUAAGCGCUGGUGGACUUUAUACGAGUGAGAAUGCCGGAAUGAGUAGCGAGAAAUAUGUGAGAAUCAUAUUGGCCGAAAAUCUAAGGUUUUUGGAGGAAGGUUCGUCCGCUCCAAGUAAGCCGGGAGCUAAGGUGAGGCCGAAAGGCGUAGCCGAUGCACAUACGGUAGAUAUUCCGUAGCCGCCAAAAGAUUUAAGUAAGAGGACACCUUGAAAGGACUUGACCCGGGCGAUGGUUGCCCCGGGCGAAAGGGACCGAAAUUUAGUAGGGAAGCAAGUUUGGACGAGGGCGAGAAAAGUCUUAUGUAUAUCUUCGGCGCCCGUACCGCAAACCGACACAGGUAGAUAGGAAGAGAAUUCUAAGGCCAACGGGAGAAGGGUAGUUAAGGAACUCGGCAAAUUGACCCCGUAACUUAGGAAUAAGGGGUGCCACAGCGAUGUGGUCGCAGAGAAUAGGCCCAGGCAACUGUUUAUCAAAAACACAGGUCUCUGCCAAAUCGAAAGAUGAAGUAUAGGGGCUGACACCUGCCCGGUGCUGGAAGGUUAAGAGGAGAUGUGCAAGCAUUGAAUUGAAGCCCCAGUAAACGGCGGCCGUAACUAUAACGGUCCUAAGGUAGCGAAAUUCCUUGUCGGGUAAGUUCCGACCCGCACGAAUGGUGUAAUGAUCUGGGCACUGUCUCAAUUACCCGCCCGGCGAAAUUGUAGUACCGGUGAAGAUGCCGGUUACCCGCGACAAGACGGAAAGACCCCAUGGAGCUUUACUGUAGCUUAAUAUUGGGUUUCGAUAAUUUAUGUAUAGGAUAGGCGGGAGACUAGGAAACCGUGGCGCCAGCCACGGCGGAGUCGACGUUGGAAUACCGCUCUUAAGUUAUUGGAAUUCUAACCUGCGGCCAUGAAUCUGGCCGGGGGACAUUGUUAGGUGGGCAGUUUGACUGGGGCGGUCGCCUCCAAAAAGGUAACGGAGGCGCUCAAAGGUUGGCUCAGCAUGGUUGGAAACCAUGCCUUAGAGUGUAAACGCGUAAGCCAGCCUAACUGCGAGGAUGACGGUCCGAGCAGUAACGAAAGUUGGAGUUAGUGAUCCGGCGGUAUGAGAGUGGAAUUGCCGUCGCUCAACGGAUAAAAGCUACCCUGGGGAUAACAGGCUGAUCUCCCCCAAGAGUCCACAUCGACGGGGAGGUUUGGCACCUCGAUGUCGGCUCAUCACAUCCUGGGGCUGUAGUAGGUCCCAAGGGUUGGGCUGUUCGCCCAUUAAAGUGGUACGCGAGCUGGGUUCAGAACGUCGUGAGACAGUUCGGUCCCUAUCUGUCGUGGGCGCAGGAUAUUUGAGGAGAGCUGUCCUUAGUACGAGAGGACCGGGAUGGACGCACCUCUGGCGCACCAGUUGUCACGCCAGUGGCACAGCUGGGCAACUAUGUGCGGAACGGAUAAACGCUGAAAGCAUCUAAGCGUGAAGCCGACUCCAAGAUUAGAUAUCCCAUAGCGUAAGCUAGUAAGACCCCUUGUAGACUACAAGGUUGAUAGGCUGCAUGUGUAAGCACGGUAACGUGUUCAGCUUGGCAGUACUAAUAGGUCGAGGGCUUGACCA